AUGUCGACAUCCACUAGCGGCGGCGGAUCGCUCUCGCCCCAGGCGGCUGCAGCGCUCCAGGAGGGCAUCGGGCUGGUGUUCGGGCGGUGGACGGCGCUGCAGAUGGCUGUGGAGAACAAGUGGGGCGGCCCCGACUCCCGCGCCAAGGCCGACCAGCUCCUCGUGUAA
rnacentral:rRNA from 1 species